UUUUCCUUGACCGAAAAGGAAUCAGGAAGAUUGGGAAGAUUGUGCUCCAAAAGUAGUAUUUUUUUUUGCAAAACUCUUCCGCUGCGGUUAUUCCGCAAAAUCGGAAAGAGCCGGUGAUGGACCCGUAAAUAUUGCGUCGGAAUAAAGGAAGCUCUAGUGGUGGCCGCAACGGAAGGGCUGUGAGUGUGGAAAAUUGCAAUGGGAAAGAAGGAAUUCCUGAUAGAUCUGGCCCGGAUAGCACGAUGAUGGACUGUCACACAUCGCGACACGGGCGACACGGCCAUCAGCAGAACACCGCAAUUGCCAGAGGAACUGCUUCUAGAAUCCACAUUUCAGCUCCAAACACUUCUCCGCACAGCAACAGAGCGCUGCGAUAAUGUUCUCCUGCGACCAGAGUUCAAACAAAGAAUAUCAGCAGUCAGCACCCAGAUAGAAUUCAAGACACCAUUUUCGGCAUCUCCGUCUUCAAGAGCGGAACGUUUGGGGAAAUUAGCAGCCAUAUGAGGGAGGCCUUCCGUGAUGGUGACGCGUGCCUGUGACCAGUAGAUUACCAAGCAGCCAAAUAAUGGGUGAACUAUGAGUUUACUAUCCGGAAGAUGCCCACCUAUCUAAUUGUAAUUGUAAUUUAUUAUUCAACGUUAACCUGUCAGUUACAUUAACUUUUAACCAAGUCAAGGUACCCACUAAUCCUAUUUAUGUGUGUAUGUGUAGUUUAAAAAAUGUUCACUUCUAUCAGAUGCCACAAAUAAGUGUAAU